rnacentral:rRNA from 1 species
UAGGGAAUCUUCCACAAUGGACGCAAGUCUGAUGGAGCAACGCCGCGUGAGUGAAGAAGGUUUUCGGACCGUAAAGCUCUGUUGUUGGUGAAGAAGGAUAGAGGUAGUAACUGGCCUUUAUUUGACGGUAAUCAACCAGAAAGUCACGGCUAACUACGUGCCAGCAGCCGCGGUAAUACGUAGGUGGCAAGCGUUGUCCGGAUUUAUUGGGCGUAAAGCGAGCGCAGGCGGAAGAAUAAGUCUGAUGUGAAAGCCCUCGGCUUAACCGAGGAAUUGCAUCGGAAACUGUUUUUCUUGAGUGCAGAAGAGGAGAGUAGAACUCCAUGUGUAGCGGUGGAAUGCGUAGAUAUAUGGAAGAAUACCAGUGGCGAAGGCGGCUCUCUGGUCUGCAACUGACGCUGAGGCUCGAAAGCAUGGGUAGCGAACAGGAUUAGAUACCCCUGGUAGUCCAUGCCGUAAACGAUGAGUGCUAAGUGUUGGGAGGCUUCCGCCUCUCAGUGCUGCAGCUAACGCAUUAAGCACU